GGGAGAAGAAAGAAGAAAAGAAGGAGAAGGGAAGGAAAGGAGAAGGAAGAAGAAGAAGAGAGAGAGAGAUACUGCUCUCCCUACUACUGCUGCCCCUCUUUGCUGCUACUGUUGCUACUGUUCUUGCCCUUCAUAUAUGCUUCUAGUGGUAAAAGGAAGCUGCUAGAGGGUGCUGCCACAGCUGGAGAUGGAUUUGGAGUUGGAUAGCUCCUAUUGGAUAUACCUGCACACCUCAAGAACCCCAGGAAGAUGGCGGAAUCAGAGCUGAGAUGGACAAAAGAUCAGUACGGUUGUUUGGCUGUGUCUAAGAGACGCAUUGUAGCUGGAUGGAUAUCCCUUCUAUUUAUCCUUUUAUUUUGUUAUCAAUGGGUUGUAAGAUUUAUUUAUUAUUAUUGUAACCUGUGGAUUUUAAUUUAUUGGGCAUGUAAUUAUAAUUAUCAUUAUAGUUUGAUUGCCACGUAUAUGCUUCCUAUGAAUUUUAUAUGUGCACUCUGAUUUUGAUAGAUGAUCUCAAGUGGUUGGUUUGGUUA